CAGCCGCCACGGUAAUACGAAGGGUGCGAGCGUUAAUCGGAAUUACUGGGCGUAAAGCGUGCGCAGGCGGUUCGUUAAGACAGAUGUGAAAUCCCCGGGCUUAACCUGGGAACUGCAUUUGUGACAGGCGAGCUAGAGUAUGGCAGAGGGGGGUAGAAUUCCACGUGUAGCAGUGAAAUGCGUAGAGAUGUGGAGGAAUACCGAUGGCGAAGGCAGCCCCCUGGGCCAAUACUGACGCUCAUGCACGAAAGCGUGGGGAGCAAACAGGAUUAGAUACCCCAGUAGUCCCUGUCUCUUAUAC
rnacentral:rRNA from 1 species